rnacentral:rRNA from 1 species
GUGCCAGCAGCCGCGGUAAUACGAACGGUCCAAACGUUAUUCGGAAUCACUGGGCUUAAAGCGUCCGUAGGCGGCUCGGAAAGUAGGGUGUGAAAUCCCACGGCUCAACCGUGGAAUUGCGCUCUAAACUAUCGAGCUAGAGGGAGAUAGAGGUGAGCGGAACUGAUGGUGGAGCGGUGAAAUGCGUUGAUAUCAUCAGGAACACCGGAGGCGAAGGCGGCUCACUGGGUCUUUUCUGACGCUGAGGGACGAAAGCUAGGGGAGCGAACGGGAUUAGAAACCCCCGUAGUCC